CCAAUAGCGUAUAUUAAAGUUGCUGCAGUUAAAAAGCUCGUAGUUGAAUUUCGGAACCAAUAUGUUGGUUGUGCCUCGGUACGUACUGGCAUUGUUGGUUUCUCCCUUCUGACGAACUAUGAUGUCAUUAAUUUGGUGUCAUGGGGAAUCAGGACUGUUACUUUGAAAAAAUUAGAGUGUUUAAAGCAGGCUCACGCUUGAAUACAUUAGCAUGGAAUAAUGAAAUAGGACGUUUGAUUCUAUUUUGUUGGUUUCUAGGAUUGACGUAAUGAUUAAUAGGGAUAGUUGGGGGCAUUAGUAUUCAAUUGUCAGAGGUGAAAUUCUUGGAUUUAUUGAAGACUAACUACUGCGAAAGCAUUUGCCAAGGAUGUUUUCAUUAAUCAAGAACGAAAGUUAGGGGAUCGAAGACGAUCAGAUACCGUCGUAGUCUUAACCAUAAACUAUGCCGACUAGGGAUCGGAUGAUGUUAAUUUUUUAAUGACUCAUUCGGCGCCUUACA
rnacentral:rRNA from 1 species